GGACAUAACGUCGGGAAACUGACGCUAAUAUCCCAUGAGGUACUUCGGUAUCAAAGCUUAGGUGGAUGAGGAUGAGCCUGCGUCUGAUUAGCUUGUUGGUGAGGUAACGGCUCACCAAGGCUGCGAUCAGUAGCUGGUCUGAGAGGACGAUCAGCCACACUGGAACUGAGACACGGUCCAGACUCCUACGGGAGGCAGCAGUGAGGAAUAUUGGUCAAUGGGGGAAACCCUGAACCAGCGACGCCGCGUGUGGGAUGAAUGGGUUCUGCCCUGUAAACCACUGUUAAGAGGGAAGAAAAGCUUCUUCAGGAAGAUGGGACUGUACCUCUUCAGAAAGGAUCGGCUAACUACGUGCCAGCAGCCGCGGUAAUACGUAGGAUCCAAGCGUUGUCCGGAAUUACUGGGUGUAAAGGGUGCGUAGGCGGGCUUGUGCGUCAGGGGUUAAAUCCCACGGCUUAACCGUGGAGCUGCCUCUGAUACGGCAAGUCUUGAGUGUGAGAGAGGAUGGUAGAAUUCCUGGUGUAGCGGUGAAAUGCGUAGAUAUCAGGAGGAAUACCAGUGGCGAAGGCGGCCAUCUGGCUCACUACUGACGCUGAGGCACGAAAGCGUGGGGAGCGAACAGGAUUAGAUACCCUGGUAGUCCACGCCCUAAACGAUGUAUGCUUGGU
rnacentral:rRNA from 1 species